CACGUUGUCACAUAGACGUUUCCUCUGAAAAAUAAAAGCAGAACUGCCCUAAGAUGCAGCGAUCCCCCGGUUGGGUAUUUAUCCCCCCACAUUGAAACCAGGAUCUCAGAGCGGUAGUAGCACUCCUGAGUUUUACUUCUCUCAAAGUCUGCGACCCGGCUCCCGACAGCAGGUGGGUCCCUGUUGCUUUUAAACCCGACAAAUCACACGCACUCUCUCUCAUCCACCCCAGGCAGAUUCUUAGGUACCUCACCCCUCGCCCAAACUGCUUUCCAGGGACAGUAGAAUUUUGCUUCUUGCCUGGGAGUCGCAGGCCAGGCCAUGACAAGCCCUAGGGGGAAGGCGCCCAGCGACCCGCGGAAGGUCCAGGCACGCCGCCUGCCCGCGGGGAAAUCGAACCCUGGUUCGGCGGCCGCGCUCCCCGGAGCAGCGUGACGCGGGGCGCCGGGCCGAGGCGAGACUCCCGCGCCUGGCUUCCCUGGGCGGCCGCCAGUUCUGCUCGGAAGGCAGGGGCGGGGCGCGGCCUUUUUCGUCCUGGGAGGAGGUGGCCGCGGCCCCGGAGGUCACUGGGCCGCCUGGCUGGCUGCUGUCACUUGUGCCCGGUGCCUUGCUCAGCUCGACUCUCCCCUUUCCCAAGCGCACCCACACUCGGAGUGAGCCCGGCCCUCCAGGGCAACUGCCAGCAAGCAAGCUGCUCCAUCCCCACAUCAGAGAGACCACAUGGGCCCCGGGACCAUCUGCCCUUGGAGGGGCCCCCUGCCUUGCCAGGUGUGGACCUGGAUCGAGCCUGUGGUGGCCUCCACCCAGGUGGCUACCUCUCUCUACGACGCGGGGCUGCUCCUGGUGGUGAAGGCUUCCUUCGGAGUGGAGGCCUUCUCCAACCACAGCGCCAGCCUGUCGCCCCGGGGGGCUCAGGAGGAUCAACAGCAGAAAGCCAUCUCCAACUUCUACAUCAUCUACAACCUCGUGAUGGGCCUGACACCCCUGCUCUCAGCCUAUGGGCUGGGCUGGCUCAGCGACCGCUACCACCGCAAGAUCUCCAUCUGCGUGCCACUGCUCGGCUUCCUGCUCUGUCGCCUGGGGCUGCUGCUGAAGGUUCUGCUGGACUGGCCCGUGGAGGUGCUAUACGGGGCGGCAGCGCUAAAUGGACUGUGCGGCGGCUUCUCGGCCUUCUGGUCAGGGGUCAUGGCCCUGGGCUCCCUCGGCUCCUCCGAGGGCCGCCGCUCCCUGCGCCUGAUCCUGAUUGACCUGAUCCUGGGCUUGGCGGGAUUCUGCGGGAGCAUGGCCUCGGGGCAUCUCUUCAAGCAGAUGACCGGGCACUCCAGGCAGGGCCUGGUGCUGACUACCUGCAGCGUGAGCUGUGCCGCUUGCGCCCUUUUCUACAGCCUCUUGGUGCUGAAGGUCCCUGAGUCCACGGCCAAGGCUAGCAAGGCUGUGGAUAUGGUGUCUGGCACGACCGGCUCUUAUCGCACACUGGAUCCUGAUCAGCCAGACAAGGAGAGUGUCGUGGAGCACCCUCCACCUCCUGGAAAAGCAAAGCCCAAAAAAACCAUCAUUGCCCUGCUCUUUGUGGGAGCCGUCGUGUAUGACCUGGCAGUGGUGGGCACGGUGGACGUGAUGCCCCUUUUUGUGCUGAGGGAGCCUCUGAGUUGGAACCAAGUGCAGGUGGGCUAUGGUAUGGCUGCAGGGUACACCAUCUUCAUCACCAGCUUCCUGGGCGUCCUGGUCUUCUCCCGCUGCUUCCGGGACACCACCAUGAUCAUGAUUGGGAUGGUCUCCUUUGGGUCGGGAGCCCUCCUCUUGGCUUUUGUGAAAGAGACAUACAUGUUCUACAUUGCUCGGGCCGUCAUGCUGUUCGCGCUCAUCCCCAUCACAACCAUCCGAUCAGCAAUGUCCAAACUCAUCAAGGACUCCUCUUACGGAAAAGUGUUCGUCAUCCUGCAGCUGUCCCUGGCUCUGACCGGAGUGGUGACCUCCACCAUAUACAACGAGCUUUAUCAGCUCACCAUGGAGAAGUUCGUCGGCACCUGCUUUGCUCUCUCCUCCUUCCUCUCCUUCCUGGCCAUCAUCCCAAUUGGGGAGAUGCUGAGGAAAUAACUGACUGGCUCUGCCCAUCUGCAACCCACUGACCACCCAGCCCACAUGGGCUCAGCUGCUGCCUCGUGCUUCGCAGAGAAAACAGACGCCACCUUAGGAGAACGGCUCAUUUUCUCAUCGUGGCCGCCAAGCAAGCCUCAUGGUUGCAGUACGGAGACAGCGCAGAGAGAUGAAGGUGCUGAUCUGCGAGAACCGAAAACCUCAGCAGUGGCUGGGCCCCUCUGGAGACAAGGGAAGGGACCAGGAACUGGUGACCAAAGUAACCCAUUGCCCAAGAAACCCAAGUUCCAGCUGGAGUUGGCCUCAGGUCCCUGGUGGGUGGGGAAAAGCACUUUCCUGGUGAUGGAGGAACUUUCUCAGCUUUCAGACGUCCCUAGUAGGCAGAGGUUAGGCUCUGCAGACAGUAGAGCAUCAGCUUUUGAAGGGUGACGUGCAGGCUGCACACACAGCCCUUCCAGACGCAGAAGCCCCUUUUCUUCCAGGAAUGGUCUCCCGGGGCUCCAGCAUAUGGCUAACUGGUCACCUGGGCGCUAUGCUAGGAGUCCAGCGUGAGAACUCAAUGGCACACAUCUUCAGCAGUUGAGGGAAUGUGGAAGGGCUGUUUUGUGAGAACUGCCAACAAUGAACCUCAGUCAGUAUCUUUAAAAUAUAACCUUGAAAAAAAAGUUAGCUUUCUUCCCUGAGGCCUUGUUAGCUGUGAACAGCUCAGGAGAGGUCUGGUGCACAGGCACUUGGCUUCAGGGUAGUUUUGUUACUGUUUGAGAAGCAACUAUCAAAAGGCUCUCUUCAAUGGGAUAUGAGACUGGAUACUUUGUCAACAAUACUUCGAAGAGGGGCAUCAGGGGAGGAGGGGUGCUGACAGCCAUUUUUAUUUUGAGGUACUUAUUUUCAUAGCCUAUUUUACUUACAUCUAUAAAAGCAGACUCACCUAAUUAAAAUCGACAUCCAGGGCA